CCUACGGUGUGCAGCAGUGAGGAAUAUUGGUCAAUGGGCGGAAGCCUGAACCAGCCAAGUCGCGUGAGGGAAUAAGGCCCUACGGGUCGUAAACCUCUUUUGCCGGGGAGCAAGGGCGGGGACGUGUCCCGGCCCGGAGAGUACCCGGAGAAAAAGCAUCGGCUAACUCCGUGCCAGCAGCCGCGGUAAUACGGAGGAUGCGAGCGUUAUCCGGAUUUAUUGGGUUUAAAGGGUGCGUAGGCGGGCUUUUAAGUCAGCGGUAAAAAUUCGGGGCUCAACCCCGUCCGGCCGUUGAAACUGGGGGCCUUGAGUGGAAGAGAAGUAUGCGGAAUGCGUGGUGUAGCGGUGAAAUGCAUAGAUAUCACGCAGAACCCCGAUUGCGAAGGCAGCAUGCCGGCUUCCUACUGACGCUGAAGCACGAAAGCGUGGGGAUCGAACAGGAUUAGAUACCCGAGUAGUC
rnacentral:rRNA from 1 species